GUAUUUUGACCGUGCUAAGGUAGCAUAAUCAUUAGUUUCUUAAUUAGAAGCUGGAAUGAAAGGUUUGAUGAAAAAAUUUCUGUCUCAGUUUAAUAUUUUUGAAUUUUAUUUUUAAGUAAAAAAGCUUAAAUUUUAAUGAAAGACGAGAAGACCCUAUAGAGUUUAAUAUUUAGUUUUGUAGGUGGUUUAAAAUAAAGAAUUAUUUUUACUUGUAAAUAGAAUAUUUGAUUGGGGUGAUUUAAAAAUUAAAUUAACUUUUUUUAAUAUUGAACAUUAAUAUAUGAAUUUAUUGAUCCUAAAAUUAAUUUAGAUUAAAAGAAAAAAUUACCUUAGGGAUAACAGCGUUAUUUUUUCUGAGAGU
rnacentral:rRNA from 1 species